rnacentral:lncRNA from 1 species
CUGAAGCUACGUGAUGUAGCUGCGCAGCAAAGCUAGCUAGCUAGGAAACCCCGCAUUAGCAGCAUUCAAUAACUGUAGUGGAGUAGCUCAGAAACGAAGAUAUUUAUAUUUUCUAACACAGAACAAUAAAAAAUACAGAAUAUAUAAAAGAUUAGAACUGUUUUUACCUGAAAAGGGGAAUAGUAAAUGAAUCACACGAGACAGAUGCUGCUUGAGCCAAGUCCAAUGUAAUAAUGAACCAACGGAAGCAGCACGUCUCCCCUUCGUGAGCUCAGACAAAAACAAUCGAAAAACGAUCAACAAAUAAAACUCUCAGAACUAUAUAGUUGAAGGAAAGUUGAAUGAAAACAAUAUAAAAUUAAGACGAUAACUCAAAAUGACAAGUAAAUAUUACCAUUAGAUCUGAUAUAAUUUUAAUAAAGCUGUUUUUUACAUCAAGACCAGAUUAGUCGAUUGCCGAUGAAUCAAUGACUGUCAUUGUCUAUUCAUAGAAAAAUGAAUUAAAUAAUUUUCUCUUUUCCCAUUUAUUACAAUUAUAAAUAAACUAAUUAUUAUUUUCCAAAACAAUUUGAAACAUAUUUCUUUUUGUCAAAAAUUUUCUGUUUCCCUUAAAUUCUAUAACAAGACUAUUACAGAAGCAGCUGCAAUUUGCCUCCGUUUUUCUGCUGAAACAGUCUCCCCCACACUAGGUCAUGCUAGGCUUACCUAAGGCGAUGGCGCAGGAAUUUGGACACAUCGCCAGCAGGCCUGUGACCUUUAGCUCCGUCAAAAAAAAAAAAAAAUCAAAAACAUUUGUCAAAUCUUUACAGCCUGAAGGAUGACAAUCAAGAAUGUAAAGGUGACAUUUUGCAUGAAUCAGUCACCAAAGCUUUAAAAAAAAAGAGUCACCAAAGAUUUUAAGUUAAUCAGAAUCAUAUUUACUCACUAUCUCUAGAAGUAUAAACAAAAAAGCUGUAUGUUCAAAAGUGAUCUUUGAAUAUUUUUAAUUUACUGUAAUAUAUCAUUUGUAAUGUAUUCUUUGUAAUAUUUGUUUUGUAAUGUAUAUUCUGUCCCCCCACAUUGUAAUUGUUCUACUUGUC